GCCGAGAUGAUGGAAUUGGUAGACAUGCUGCGCUUAGAACGCAGUGCCGUAAGGCGUGGGGGUUCGAGUCCCCCUUUCGGUA
rnacentral:tRNA from 1 species